CUUUCUGUAUAAGCCUGUUGACCGACCGUGAGGAUGAAAAUGUAGACUUCCCCAGGCUUUGAAGUGGUGUGGAAGGCCUGUCUCCGCACUCCAGAUUGUUCCUGUCUCGGCUCUCAGACCGUUCUGCUGCUUCGACAUUUCGGCACUUACUGUGUGUCUGGCCCCGUCUGCAGCAGAAGCUUCUGCCAACGGAGUUGUAGAAGAAAAUGCUCUCAGUGAUACAUAAUUGACAAAGAUGCCUUGAUUCGUAAGGAUCUACUCCAAAUGGGAGUCUGAAUCAGGGGCGAAGCCGCAUUCGAUCUGGGCCCUCCCUCAGCAGACAGAAGACAAUAGCAGGGUGUGCAUCACUUCAGGCUCCCCACUUCACCGUGCUGGCUUUUUUUUUUUUUUUUUUUAACCAUGGCUUUGAAGCUGUACGUGAGCGAUGAAGCCCUCAGCAUGCUUCCUCAGUGCAAACCGGGAUGUGGGCAGCGCUGGGUAAAGCAGGCCCAUCUCUGAGGGGCUGAAAGCCAAGAGGAAACAGUGACAUGACAAGAAAACGGACACAGGGGGAGAAUGGUGGCUGGCUGGAAGACUUUGGAAGGCUACAGGAUGUGUAACACACCGACACCCUCCUCGUGCAGUGGACGGUAAGUGCCGUACGAAGAUGCCACCGAAGACUUUUCGCUGAGGCUGUGUUUGUAACCGAAAAGUCCUUCGAUCAACAGUGUUUGACAAAGGGGACUGACUGGUAAAUAGUCAUGAUAGACCUAUGCAAUUAAAAACCACGACACCUGCUAAAAAGGCGACUGUUCUUUAUUACUGAUUUUGAGUGGCUUUCAUGUUAACUCGUAAAGUAAAAGAAACUUAA